rfam:Myotis brandtii contig226550, whole genome shotgun sequence.
GGCCGUUCUUGAGUGACACACCCCGGAAUCGGGCUCCCUCCUCUCUGGUUCCAGGGUGCAUCACCCGAGAACCACU